ensembl:snRNA U6 U6 spliceosomal RNA
CUUUAAAAAAAUAAAUAAAGUGCAGAUUUCUGGAACGAUACAGAGAAGAUUAGCAUGGCCCCUGUGGCAGAUGACACACAAAUUCAUGAAGACUUCCCUAUUUAA